UUACGGCUAUAUCAUGUUGAAACAUUGGUUCCCAUAUGAUCACCAAAGUUAAGUAACAUCAAGCCUGGUCAGUACCAAGAUGAGUGACUGCUUGGGAAUACCGAAUACUGUAA